AAGUUAACAAACAUUUUACCAUAUUGUAAUGAAUGUUCGUAAUAUGAACAUGUAAUAAAUAAAUGCAGAAAAUGUACUACAACAAUCGUAAGUUGGUACUGAUCUAGUGUGAUGAAUUUAGAAGUUGGUAGUUGGUAGCAUUCUCAUGAAAUUGAAAAUCAAAUCGAGGAAUCGGUGAAUAUAGUUUUUUAAAGUUUAGUUUGGAUGGAGACGGGAAAUUGUUUUUUGUAUAACAUUCCAGUAAGCAUUUCUUUGUGCGUUAUCAUCAUCCUUUAUGGAGGCUGACUUUGUGGCGUUAUAAACGCUAUGGCGUUCUCGUGGAGUUCCUGUUCGAGUCUAGGUGACGUUGGGACUUACAUAAGUGUAUAAAGGACUUUUGUUGAAGCUUUCAUUUAGCGAGGUUAUGGAAGAAAUGGCGGUAAAACUCCAUUUGCUGGAGUUUGGAGGCUAAGGGUGGCACUGGAGUAUUAAGGCCCUUGGAGCCCUUGGAUUUGAUGUUCCUGUUGCAGUCCCAUAUUUCGAAGGGAGUUGCAGUCGCAGAUCUCGAAGGGGGUUGCAGUUUUGGUACCGCCAAGUCAGUCGUCUAGUCCAGCUCCACUUGCGGACCCAUGAUCAUAGUAACGAAACAAGUAAUUUCAAGGACUACUCCGAAGGUGUGAGCUGCGCUCAUAGAUAUAUUUCAGGAUUUUGUAAAGGUUAGUAUUAAUCAUACAUAUAAUUUAAAAUAAAGAAUCUGAGAGAGUCUAGAUAGACUCUAUAUUGUAAUUAAUUUCAGGAUUACAAUUAGUAGUAUUAUAGUAGUAGUAGUAGUAUUAU